CUACGGGCCGCAGCAGUGGGGAAUAUUGCACAAUGGAGGAAACUCUGAUGCAGCAACGCCGCGUGGAGGAUGACACUUUUCGGAGCGUAAACUCCUUUUAUAUAGGAAGAAGAUGACGGUACUAUAUGAAUAAGCGCCGGCUAACUCCGUGCCAGCAGCCGCGGUAGUACGGAGGGCGCAAGCGUUACUCGGAAUCACUGGGCGUAAAGAGCGUGUAGGCGGAUUAAAAAGUCAGAAGUGAAAUACUAUGGCUUAACUAUAGAACUGCUUCUGAAACUCUUAAUCUAGAAUGUGGGAGAGGUAGAUGGAAUUUCUGGUGUAGGGGUAAAAUCCGUAGAGAUCAGAAGGAAUACCGAUUGCGAAGGCGAUCUACUAGAACAUUAUUGACGCUGAGACGCGAAAGCGUGGGGAGCAAACAGGAUUAGAUACCCCCGUAGUC
rnacentral:rRNA from 1 species